GGAAGGAACUGCAGAUGCUGGUUUACACCGAAGACAGACACACAAUGCUGGAGUAACUCAGCGGGACAGGCAGCAUCUCUGGAGAGAAGGAAUGGGUGACGUUUGGGGUCGAGACCCUUCUUCUCUCCAGAGACGCUGCGUGUCCGGCAACAAACAGCCGCCGCCAAGCGAGUCUCUGAGAUGGAGAUGGAGACUCUCUGAGAUGGAGAUGGACACCAGGAGUCAUCCUGGGGGCUGUCAAAAUACUUCUUACAAGUACAUUUCCCCCACUUUUGUUCUUUAAAGCAGUCAGAAUCAAACGUCCUUCAAACAUUCUGUCAAAGAGCCGCUGCUUUAAACUGGAUUUUAUGCUGAAUACAGACACAAAAUACUGGUGUAACUCAGCAGGACAGGCAGCAUCUCUGGAGAGAAGGAAUUUUUCAGGGAAACGACCAGGUGCGAUAGUGAUGUUGUUGUGUAGUCUGCAAGGAAUUCAGUAAGGCGUUUCACUAAGUUUUACACUGGGAAAGGUUAAAUCCCAUGGCAUCCAGGGGUAAUUUGGCAUUCACAUCAGAAAUUGGCUUGAUGAUAGGAGGCACAGAGUGAAGAUAACCCACCCCAGCCUGGUCAAUUGCCCCUUCCUGAUGAAAUUCCUAAGUCGUGGCAAUAUCCAGGUAUAAAUCGUUUCCAUGCCUCGCACGUUUGCAGACAUCUAAAGAAGCAUGGAUACAUCACGGAGAGGAACAUUGCAAGAGAGGCGUUGGCUGGAGACCCUCAGCAGCCUGGGGCUCACCUAGAUCGGGCACUGCUCAUUAGAACUAGAGCGCGGACUGGACCUUGAAAAUGGAGCCGAUACAUCGUGCCUGUUGCAUGCGGGAUCAGUGGACCUUCUGCACACUUUGUUAAUUGGAGAUGUGCUUAGGUAUGGCAAUACUCUACUGGACUGUAUGUAAGAAAAUAAUUUCACUGUGCGUUUGCACAUGUGACAAUAAAAGCAUAAUUGAACAUCUUUACUUAUGGCUCAGAAGGAAUUUAGGAAUAAAUAAAAUCUGUAAACAUCAUAGUAUUUUUCAAAUGUAUCCUUUGGAAGAGGCUGUUCUUGUAUAACCACCAAUAAUUCAUGCAAUUAUUUAUGGUGCUUUUAUGAUAAAAUAACGCCUUCAGUGUUUGCUUUUGGUGCACGUCGGAGAAAUUGGAUCAAUGAAAAUGCAUUUCAUGACAGGACAAAUCGUGUUGGUAAUUGAGAGUAGACAAAAAUGCUGGAGAAACUCAGCGGGUAAGGCAGCAUCUAUGGAGCGAAGGAAAUAGGCAACGUUUCGGGUCGAGACCCUUCUUCAGACCCUUUCUCAAUUUUAUAAUUGAGAAAUCAGUUUACAUAUCUGAUUUUUAUCGGGUCUGCAUCCUCAUUCAAUCCUCAGCAGAUAGAAUGUAAUUUAUCUUUGGGAUUGCCCUUUUCCUUAGAACUAUUCUUCAUCACAAAUUCAAAAUGAAAAUUGUGCAAAUAUAUAAAUGCAAUUUAGUAUAAAUGUAUAACUGCUCACUCCAAGUUAAUUUUUUUUAUCAUUUGUAAAUGUAUGGCUUAAUGUCUGUAUUUUGUAGCAAGUGUUAAAAAGAUUAAACAAGUUGAGCACUUUUUAAUGAAUUUAGGAGGGAUUAUUUGAAGGCCGCGUAAUUUUGGCUGAUUGGAGUUUAGAGUGCUUUCAUGAAAUCUGGCCACACUCUUGGCUUCCAAUUUCUAACCAGCACCCUGAAUCCAAUCUCCCACCAGUUCCUGGUCUCCAAUUCUCCCAGCAUCUCCCAGCUUCUGAUCUAUCACCAGCUCCCUGCCAUCCGCUCCCCCUCCAGAUUACAGCGUACUCUACAUUCCCACCAGUCACCUCUCUCUGCAGACUCCUAUCUCUCCCCAGCUCCCGGUCUUUGAUCCCUUGCUUGCUCAUGCCUCCAAUCCCCUAUCAAUUCACAGUCAUUAAUCUUCCACUAGCUCUUCCAUUUGCAACACAUUGGAGAGGGAGGAUUGGGUGACACACUUUGCUUCACAUAAAGCUUUAAGAUCAAUGUCACUGCUGAAGUUUAUACAGUGGCCCAGUGAUCGAUUGAACCGAUGCUAUAUUAGCCCACUUGUACUUACUGUACUGCUGGUGUAUUAUUUUAUGUAUCCUGUUGUUUACCCAGGGUUGUUAGACACUAAUACAGGCAAGUACUACAGCAUGAUUAGUCUGAAGAAGGGACCUAGACGAAACAUUACCUAUCCAUGUUCUCCAGAGAUGCUGCCUGACCCACUCAGUUACUCUAGCACUUCGUGUCCUUUUGAUUAAACCAUCUUAUGCAGUUCCAUGAUUUCUGUAAGUAUUUGUGAAAAUGCUUAUUUGGUGAUUGGACUUUGCAUUCCUAAAUGUUGUACAUUUUUAUGUAUUUUGUGAUAUUGAACGGUCACAGCAUAUUCUCUGUUAAUCCAGACUAAUACCAGAAGUAAUGUAUUUGAAUUGUUGGUUACAAUGGAACAUGCAGUUAGUUUUCUAUUUCUGUCCCAUUUGUGGCCUUAUCUCCAUGGCAACCUGUGAGCUGCAGUUUUAGGAGCACAGGCAGAUUUACUGGUGGGCAACGUUCUUGGAGGUGAACGGAAAUAUUGCUCAGGUUAAUUAGCUAUGAUUCUCAUUAUCAGCAUAUACCUCAUUAUAUAUGACCAUUGUUCUAGUAGCCAUUUGAACCCUUGUGAACUGAUAAAACAUUGACCUUUUUCUCAAUACAAUGAAAAUUGUUAGCUGAUGUAUGGAAAAUGCUGAAAACAAUAUCAGUCAAAAAAUACUUUCUGCCUUAGGAUUCUGCCUGAAGCAACGUUUUUUUUUGGUUCCAUGUAUUAAUAGUUUCCACUGAGUAACAAUAUUCCUCUUGAGCGAAGCCUCUUAAUUUUUUUUGAAUCAUUUAUUUCACUCUGAUGAAAAUAUGCAAUUGGAAUAAGACACCAUCGGCCCCUCAAGCUAAUUACAUAAUUUAAUAGUUUCUGUCUGAUUUUCCAACUUGAUCAUAUAAGAGAUCAAAAAAUAGAGUUUGUGUGUAAGCAGGGGAAAGAUGAGAGAUUGUCAGGUUGUAGCUUAAUGGGUGUGGCAUCAAGAAGCUCUGGUAAAACUAUUGCCUUCAAGAGGAAAAUAGUCCAGUGCUUUGAGUCAUGCCUCACAUAAAGGAAUGUAAAUGGAGACUAUCUUCUGCAGAUGUUGUAAUCUUGAGCAAAACACAAAAUGCUGGAGGAACUCAAUGGGUCAGGCUGCAGCUGGGGAAAGAAUGGGUAGGAGACAUUUCCUGUCACCUUUCUUUUGACUGAUUCAGACUAAUUCAACCCAAAACAUUGCCACAACGCUAACAAAUGAAUUGAAAAACGACCCUUUCCAAAAUCAUCCCUGUGUAGCUUGUUCUCUUUAAUUAUUAAUUCCAUAGAUCUUGGCUAUCUUCCAUUAUUUUAGGCUAGUGGUAAUUACUUGUACGUGAGUUACAAUAAUAGGUGUCACUCAGUCAGUUAUUUAAACGUGAAAAACAUCACUGUUGAAAAGGCAUUUCCCUUAGUGUUGUAUAUUUACCUGGAUCUUCUACUCUACAACCAGACAAUAUUGAUCAUGUAUUUCACCUUUUUGCAUGUGGGGGUUUUGAAGCAAACAUCUGUGGUUUCCUUGUUCUGCAUUCCCUUUGUCCUGUUUUCACACCUUACACUUCCUUAUCUAUACACUUCCUUUUCUACCCACUACCCUAACUGCCUGUAGAAGGGUCUCGACCCGAAACGUCACCCAUUCCUUCUCUCCAGAAAUGCUGCCUGUCCCGCAGAGUUACUUUAGCUUCUUGUGCUAUCUUCAUCUUAAACUAAACUAAAAUCACUGAGAAAAAUAGCUGCUCCUUGUUUUUUUCUGUAAGAGAGUACCAACAACAUAACAAAAACACUUUUAGUUGCUUAAACAAUAUCAGGGGAUGAGGAAAAUAAUCACUAUGUUAUUUAUGCAUCUCUCUUCCUCCAUUGCCCGCUGGUGACAGAUUGUUCCAAGCAUGUCAAGCGUUGGAAAACAGCUAAGUAAGUUUUAGUAAAUCUAUCAUUCAUAACCAAGGUGCUUUGAGUGAAGGCUUUGUUCUACUUUGGCCUGAUUACCUCAUCCAAAGUAAAUGACUGAACAUGAGAUCUUCCAGGAUUUGAAUGCCCUCCAAAAGUUAACCAAUAUUUUCAAACACUUUCAUCACUCUUGGCCUCGCUUUCAUUUCGCUUCUACCAUUGGGCAGGAAAUAUAGAUCUGAAAAUCGUGACCAUAAAGACCAAAAAUACUUUCUUCCCAGCAACUAGCAGGCUCAUGAACACUUCACAACACUAACCUCAACUAUGAAAGUCUAUAGACUGUCUGGUUGCACUAAGGACAUCCAAGUUUUUUACACUAGUAUUAUGGUUAAAACAUUAUUGAAUUGUUUUGGUUAUUAUAUAUCAUGUGCAUUUGUUGUGUUUACAGGCCUGUUAUGGUGCGGCAAGUAAGGAUUUCAUAGUCGGUAGUAUAACAAUUAAACACUUUUUGACUCUUGAGAUAAACUUACUGAUCAGUUGUGAAGGUGGGCCAAGGAAAGGCCAAUGGAAUUUAAUUUUGACUAGUGUGAAUGCUGCUCUUUGUUACGUCAUAACUGUGCAGGACCUACGGAGUGAAUGGUAGAGUCCUGGGUGUACAGGCACACAGGUCACAGGAAGUGGAAAGUCAGGUAGACAGUGUGGUGCAGGAAGCAUUUCACAUGCUUGCCCUCAUUGCGAAGGGUAUUCGGUUCAAAGAUUGGAACAUUAUGAUGCAUCUGUUAAGGUCAUUAGUGAGGCCACACUUGGAGUACUGUGUGCAGUUCCUGUUGCCCAGCAUCAGGAAGUAUGCUGUGUAGGAAGGACAGGGCAAUUGUUUUGCUGAACACCUUCGUUCAGUCUGCCUUGGUCUAUGUGUUCUCCCGGUUGCCAAAUAUUUUAACUCCCCAUCCUUCCCAUACUGAUGAUUCUGUCCUGGGCCUCCUCCACUGUCAGUGAGGCCAAACAAAAACUGGAGGAACAGCACCUCAUAUUUUGCUUGGGCAAUUGAUUUCUCUAACUUCAAGAAAGCCUUGCAUCCCCCUUCUCUCUCCGUCCCUCCCCCACCCUAGUAAUCGUACCAGUUUCACUGUCAUCCUGUUUAGUUUCGCUGUUGGUAUCACUCGUUAUCACCUUCUCCACAGCCAACAAUGAACCAUUGUGGGCUCCACCUUUUCUUGAUCAUUGUUGCUGGCUUUAAUUUGACCAGACUUUUCAUUCAUUUGUUCUUUGUAACUUUUCAUACCUCUAGUUUCUAUCUCCCUUGACUUUCAGUCUGAAGAAGGAUCUCGACCCUUUUUUAUCUUUUUCUUUUUCUUUUUCCCUUCUCCCGUUAUGUACUAUGUUUACAUAUUCACAUAUUCUGUUGUGCUGCAGCAAGUAAGUAUUUCAUUGUCCCAUCCGGGACAUAUCACAAUAAAACACUCUUGACCCGAAACGCCACCUAUUCAUUUUCUCCAGGGAUGAUACCUGACCCGCUGAGUUACUUCAGCUUUUUGUGUCCAUCUAAGGAAGUAUGCCAUUAAGUUGGAAGGUGGUGCUGACGAAAUUCACCACGCUGGGCUUGUGGAAUCGGAAAAGAUUGGACAGGCUGAGAUUUUUUUUUCCUUAGGAGUAUAAGAGACUGAGGGAUGACCUUAUUGAGGUGAUGAGAGGCAUGAAUAAAGAGGACACUCACAGUCUUUUCUUGAGAAAGCAAUAGAGCAGGUAUAAUAACGAUUAAAAUAUAUUUGAACAGAUAUAUGGAUGGGAAGGGUUUAGAGGGGUAUGGGCCAAUUGUAGGAAAUGGGAAUUGCCUGGAAUGCCAUGGACAAGGUGGAACAAAGGGCCUAUUUCCUGCUUUAUAUCUCUAUGACUAUAUACCGAUACACAUGCUUUUGUGUUGCCUAUGAAUACAAGUGUUGAUUACGGCUACAGAGUUGAUGGGAAACGCUGGCUAUAUCAUCUACAGCAUAUCCCAAUAACCUGUUGCAGAACAAAAUUGGCAGAGGUUUAUGUAUGGAACACCUAGAGGUUAGAAGAGCCAACAUUGCUGAAAACGAAUCUUUAAAUAAGAAAAGAUCUCCUCCAAUAAUUCACUUGUUAAGUACACCAUUGGGAGUGUGUAGCCUACUAUGUUCCAGGUUGGUUGUGAAUACUAAUAGUCUCAGCUGCAAUAGCACACAAGUGCUACAAGCAGGGUGAAGACCAAGGCAACACGCAUAUGGUUCAACCCCGUCAAUGUCUUCCUUAUUUCAAAUUCUUGUGAUUUUGAAAAUAUAAUUUCAACACUGAUCAAUAUAAAAAAAGAUCUAAUUCUGGAAAAGUAAACAAGAAUGAGUAAAUGUGGACAUUUACACAACACUGAAACUUUGUUGAAACAAGGAACUGUCCAUGCCAUGCUGGCUUAUACCAAAGGUAGACACAAAGUGCCGGAGUAACUCAAUGAACCAGGCAGCAUCUCUGGAGUAAAAGGAUGGGUAACAUUCCGAAGAAGGGUCCUGAUUCGAAACAUCAUCCAUCCUUUUUCUCCAGAGAUGUUGCCUGUUACUCCAGUACUUUGUGUCUAUCUUUACUGAAACUUUGUUAUUGGGCUGACUAGUUACAAAGAAAACCUUGGGGGAAAAAAAAGACACAAAGUGCUGGAGAACACGUCUCCAGGGACGCUGUCUGACCCGCUGAGUUACUCCAGUACGUUGUGUCUUUUUUUUUGUAAACCGGCAUCUGCAUUUUCUUGUUUCUACAUUUUUUUCUUCUUGAAUGUCUACCUUUUAGGUUGAGAAUUGGCACAUUGAGUUCAUGGCCCCAAAGCUCCAAUCAACAGAUACAGAGAUCCUCAAUGUUACAACUCAUGCUGACUUCA